GAGGAAACAUGAAUACAAAUAUUAUAUGGCUACAUAGUUACAUAGCUGAAAAGAGACUUGCGUCCAUCAAGUUCGGCCUUCCUCACAUUUGUUUUUUGCUGUUGAUCCAAAAGAAGGCAAAAAAAAUUUGCAACUUGCAACAAACUAGGAAAAAAAUUCCUUCUUGACCCCAGAAUGGCAGUCAGAUUUAUCCUUGGAUCAAGAAGGUAUUACCCUACAUUGAAAAAUUAUAUCCUUGAAUAUUCUGUUUUUGCAAGUAUGCAUCUAGUUGCUGUUUGAACAUCUGUAUGGACUCUGAUAAAACCACUUCUUCAGGCAGAGAAUGCCACAUCAUUAUUGUUCCACAUCCUUUUCUUUGCCUUAGACGAAAUCUUCUUUCUUCCAGUCUAAAUGCAUGACCUUAUGUCCUAUGUAAUGUCAGGUUUGUGGUCGAUCAGAUUCACUGAGUUCUAAUUUAGAACCAGUAAUGAAUAUUAAGCAGAUUAAUCAGAUCAUACUCCUAGAAUGCCGGUGUCAUGCACCAUUGACUCAUACGAUGAAGCAAGAUCUUGAAGUCCUUUGUCAUGCCUCUCCUAUUGGUUUAAUUCGAGCUGUGUAUGUUGCCGUAUUCUGUUUGUGUUAUUUAUGGGUGCUUCAGUUGCUUUAUAGUGUUGUAUUUGUUCGUAUAUUUAGUACCUAUGAUACCUAUGAAUGUGGGCUGUGUAUGUGAGUUGUUUGUGGAAUUCUGUGUGGAUGCUCCUCAUGGGGUGUGUGUAUGUGGAUUGUCAGCAUUGUGCUUGUGGGUGGGUGUGUUUGUAUGUGUGGACUGUGUGUUUUAUUUGUAUGAGGAAGGGGCUUAUUCUGCAGCUCUGUGGGUGGUUUUCCUGGGGUCCAGUGGGGACCAGGCACAAAUUGAGGGCAGGAGCUGCAAUAGCUGCUGUAGCCUGCUCUACUCCAGUGCAGAUUUCCAUUCACAAGAGCUGGAAGAAAGUUAUCUGAGAUGCGUAAUUUAAGGAUUGUCCCUCACCACCUUUUUGCACUAGCUGAUAUCUGAAGAUCCACUGGGAAUCCUGAUAGGCCAC